UGUUGCAGUCUUACAAAAUGAUGCUUCAUGUGUUUAAGAUCUCUUCCAUCUCUAAUCCAUUCCAAACUGCCCUGCAGGCUCCAUCUGAGAUUGAGAUUUGGCUGGCACAGCCUCGCUGGUGGGAGCUACCUAAGGAGCGGCCCUAUUACAGUGGUUUCUCUGGUGCUCAGUGCCCAGGCUCUGGAGGAACCCAGAGCCAGCAUCCCACCUGGGAGGCUUUGAUCAUUUCUUCUGUAGCUUCAAGCAUAGUGAACCCCUCUCUGUGAAGGAAAAGCUGUCAGGCAUUCGAGGCAGAGCCGGCUGUGAUGGCAAAACGUGACCCUCAAUCCACUGCAAGUCUGGUAAAAAUCAUGGCAUUUCUAUACUAUUCGCAACAAAUGCUGUUCUCCCCGCUCUUCCUGCUUUCUC
rnacentral:lncRNA from 1 species